rnacentral:rRNA from 1 species
UACGAAGGGGGCUAGCGUUGCUCGGAAUCACUGGGCGUAAAGCGCACGUAGGCGGCUUUUUAAGUCAGGGGUGAAAUCCUGGAGCUCAACUCCAGAACUGCCUUUGAUACUGGGAAGCUUGAGUCCGGGAGAGGUGAGUGGAACUCCGGGUGUAGAGGUGAAAUUCGUAGAUAUUAGGAAGAACACCAGUGGCGAAGGCGGCUCACUGGCCCGGUACUGACGCUGAGGCGCGAAAGCGUGGGGAGCAAACAGG